CUGGUUGGUCUGUCCCAUUACCGGGGCUGUGAUGGACUGGUCAGCAGACACCAGUCUAAGAGGACACAUUAUCGGAUCGAAUAGGUAACUGU